ensembl:lncRNA
AUGACGAUAUCACUCGGAACUAACCGGGCCAAGCUAACUGUGGUUCCGGAGACACGGGCCGCGACCUUCUCCAUCGCGCUCAGAAACAGUACAACGACACGCGGCUUACCGGCACCGAGUGUGUCCGUCGUUGUGCUGGAGGGUCAACUCCUGAUACUACUACUAGUACUACUGUUAGUACUAUCACUGAUGCUGCCAGUACUGAUACCGAUACCACUACUACUGGUACUGCUGCUAGUAGUACUUCACCUACACGCAGGACCUCUGAGGAAGUGACAGGUACUGAUUCCUCUGACACAAAGUCUCUGGCAGACGAGGAGGAAGCAGCAGAAGAAGAAGAAGAAGAAGCAGCUGGAAACAAGGAAGGUGAGGAAGACAAGGUCCAUUCUUCUUCACAUUUGUCACCCAGCAGAGAAGCCGACGAGUCCAUCAGAGUGUUACCAUGACAACACAAUGAUCAACAUUAGUGAAGUAAUACUAGUAUUUAUAGUUUUGAUUAGUUAAAGCUUUAAAUCGUUUUCUCCAGGGGGAUCCAUUAUUCUGCCGUCAUGGAGUUUGAAGCUCGUGUCAUAUUUAUUUAUUAGUUUAUUCUA